rnacentral:rRNA from 1 species
ACUCGGCANAUGACUACCGUAACUUAGGGAUGAGGGCUCAUUUAAAAUGAUUAAUAUCAAGUAAAAAAGAAGAGACAUAAAAUAGUGUUGUACGACUGUUUAAUUAAAACAAAGCACUUUGCAAAAGAUGAUAAAUCAAAGUAUUAAGUGUGAUAUCUGCCCAAUGCCGUCAGCUUAAUUAUAGAAACUAAUAAUAGAAAUUUGGUUUUUAUAAAAAUCCCCGGUGAAUGGCGGUCUUAUUUUGAGGAUCCUAAGGUAGCGAAAUGCCUUGG